GAAUAAGAAGGGAAAACAGCCCACGAGAAAAAGAUCAUUAAGAGAUUAUUUUUUCCCUGUUAGUUCUAUAUUUGUGUUGGUUUUUAUUCUCAGAUUUUGAAUGCGAGUCUUUUACACUCUCUUGGCAGACAAAUAGGCUUCCUCCCACUGCAUCAAUAACGAAAAAUAAAUGAAAAACACAGAAGGUUUCUCCUCCCUCUAUACAAAUUUUCUCCGUCUCAAUUUUUUCUAUAAUUAUUCACAGGAGUAGUCUUAGAAUAAAGUAAAGUUGAACUAUUAUCUAUACGUUAGAGGAAGCUAAGCAUAUUUUUCGAGUGUCAAUUUUUUUGGCUUAGCUAACCAUAUUUUUAAAAAUAUUGUCGAAGUUAUGUUUGUUUAAUUAAGAUCGGGAUGGAAUCUUCAUUCAUUAGUUAAGACAUAUUUCAUGUUAGUUGAGCUAUAUAUACAUGAAUUUUGAUCAAAUUAUUUGUAUAAAUUAGUAGAUAAACUGGAUGAAAAAAUGUUUGUAAAAAAAUUAUGGACUAAAUUGGAAAAAAAAUCAACAUUAAGACUUGAAAUAUAUUUAAUUAGUCAGCCUUUUGAAAAUAUGGUUGUAGGGUCUCUAUUUAUAGAUUUAAUGUACUAAAAUAAUAAAAUAUAUAGUUAUAGUAGACGUAUUUAGUCAGGACUCAAACUAUUAAUUUAUUACUAUAAAUAAAGAAAAGGAAAGUUGUAAGUCUUCAGUUUGAAUUUGUGUAUCCAUGUCCAUCCAAAGUAUGGCUUUCCAGACCUGGAAAAUGUGUUGUCUUUCUCUAAGCUUCCUUAUCCAACCACGAUCGCUGCUUCCAACCCAUCAACCAUUCAUUUAACAUAUAAAAAAAUCAUCUAUUUUCUCAAAAUGUUUAUUACCUCUCUUUUUUGUUCCAGUUAGAGAUGAAAAUGAUAGAACUAAGUCAUGCACAGCCGAAAAAGAAUCGAAUUUCUACCCUAAUUGCCACAAUUAACAUGUAACCAUAAACUAAUCAAAUUAGGGUUUUAAGAAAUAUUACCUUUGAAGCUUUCAAAAGGUUUGAUAUCUUCUUACCAAUUCUAACCGAGACCACCACUAGUACUCAACUGCUAUCCUCUAGACAAAGAACCGGGUUGUGGGACCCAAUUUUGGUGUAGAAAGUAAUGAAGAUAAAAUGGGAUUGGAAGGUUUUUUUUUUUCUUUUGUUGAGAUGAUAAAAAAUGAUAAAAGAGGCAAAAGUUUUUCAACAUUUGAAAACACUUCUAUUUAUAACCUAAUUACAUGCAAAAAUGCAUGCAAUUCAUUUGCCAAAUUUCAACACCUAAUGUUCUACUAACAAUUAGUGGAACUUAGUGGGCUAGGUGUCUAUAUCUUAUAUAGCCACAUUUCCC
rnacentral:lncRNA from 1 species